CCUGCAGCCUCAGCCUCCUGCCUCCGAGCCUGCCAGGAUUCCUCCAGAGAGGGAACUUCAAUCGGAGCAAUGCAGCAGCAGCCACCCCUUGAUGCUGCCAGUGCUGCCAUUUGACCUAGGAAUGCACAGAAUAAAACUACACCUGGAAAAGCCAUUGUGGAAACAGACAUCCUGCCCAAGGCACCGAAAUCCGCAAUCUGCUGCUGCUUCUGUGGAGCCUCUGGAAUUUUGCCAGCAGCCCCUUGAGGUGGUCCCAGAUGUGAUUGCUUUUUCUGUGCUACCCUGAAAAUAUCCGGUGGAAACAAAGGAGAGCUACAGCUUUGGAGGCCAGCACUUCCUCUGCUCUCAGGGAUGUACAGUGGGAGAUGUUAGGCACAAGGUGUUUGUGCAUGCUGUAAGACUUUCAGAAGGAUUUUAGACCCAUCAUCAGUUUUUAGGCAUUCACUCCUUGAGGAAGCACAGGUGAGAAUCCAAUGCCAUCUUCA